rnacentral:lncRNA from 1 species
AUUUCCCACUGCCUGACAUCUCAGGCGCCUACCUCUUGCCCACUUCACCCACAGUCAGUGCAAAUGGAGCAUCAACUUGACUGCUGUGUAAGGGAACCCGGGAAAAAGGACCAUUUUGCCAGUGACCCCAAUUCUAUUUGAGUGUAACCACCCACUGCUGGGGAUUGAGGCUGUUGUUGGAAAUGUCCUAGGUUUUAUUUCCUCAUUGCAAUUUCCUGGCAGCCCUGCUCCAAGGCUAGAUGAAAUCUUCACUCUUGCCAGAGCCAUUCUCAAUAAACAUUUGCUGAAGAAAUGCUUGCUACCUGAAUGAAUGAUCAGAAGCCGGAAAAAUCAGCUUUCAAAAGGAGCUUAGGAACAAGCAGAGAGAAAAUCCCACCUCAAAGGAUCUGGAGAACUGGCCAGAGAUCACCCCAGAAGAGAGUACAGGAGCCAGGAUUUGGACGCAGGUCUCUCUGACUCAAAUCCUUUUCUCUUUCCCUUACUUCAUCCUCCCCCUCAUCUCCUGAAAAUUAGAAGCCGGAUCCUGGAAUACACACAGAAAACCCUCCACCCAUUUUAAGGAUACAUCAAGAUCAAAACUCAUUGAUAUUGUAAUCUUACUAGUUUGAACUUUAAAACAUUUUACUGCCAUAUGGGGACUGGCUUCAAAGAAAUGUUUUAGUGGUGUUACGUUUAAUGCCUUGUGUUUAUGUAGAAUUACAUAUCCUAUAAAUGUUAGUUUGGCUUAUCUUGUCUCCUCCCUCUCAAAAGGACCUAUGCCAAUUUAAGAUUCUAAAUAUAUUUAGGCAAGUGUUGGAGGGUGGGUAGGAAAAUUAGUAGGGACAUGAGUUAAUGGAUUUUACUAGGUACAAGUGAGUUAAUAUAUGCUGACUGGAAAGGGUAGAAUCUGCUGUGUACUUAGGCAGACACCCAGGGCAAAGUGGCUGCCAGUUCACCUAGUUAUGAAUCAUACACUUCCAGAAGUAGAAGAGGAGACUUUGAUGUCCUGACCAAAGGAGACAAAAUUACACUACCAAAAUAAAUCCUUGCCUGCGAAGGACUAAAGAAGCCUAUGGGAUGUGGAACUCUACAGAAAAAGAAUGUCCAAAGUCACGGUGAAGCCACAUACUGACUGUGAAUUCCUGGUGGGGUGAAAGGAUGACUAGCAUGUGAUUUCAGCAGCAACCGUGGGAUGUGGGUGACAGUAAGAACUGAAGAACAGCUAGAAUCUUUUGAGGUUAGCAGUGCUCUGAGGCCGAGGAUGGGAGUCAUGGGUCUGAGAUCAGAUGUAGAAAUAAUUCAAG